rnacentral:tRNA from 3 species
AGUGCUGUAGUUCAACUGGAUAGAACAUCAACCUUCUAAGUUGAGAGUUGUGAGUUCGAGUCUCACCAGCACUA